UACGUAGGGUGCAAGCGUUAAUCGGAAUUACUGGGCGUAAAGCGUGCGCAGGCGGUUUGUAAGUCUGUCGUGAAAGCCCCGGGCUCAACCUGGGAAUUGCGAUGGAGACUGCAAGGCUUGAAUCUGGCAGAGGGGGUAGAAUUCCACGUGUAGCAGUGAAAUGCGUAGAGAUGUGGAGGAACACCGAUGGCGAAGGCAGCCCCUGGGUCAAGAUUGACGCUCGAUGCACGAAAGCGUGGGAGCAAACAGG
rnacentral:rRNA from 1 species